AAUUUUCGCAAGUACUCCUAAAUUUUAGUCGUUUUCCUUUCUCUUUUUUUUCCUUAUUCAACAAUUGUAUAUGUAUUGUGUUUCUUAUGUUUUUUCAUAUUUUUUUUGUGAAAUAAUCGAUUGUUUGUUCUUAUUAGAUCACAAAUUCUUCACAGAAUGAAUGAAUCAUCUUCAUCUAUGAGGAUUACUAGAGGGUCUACGGUAAAAUCCAAACAAUUUCAACAUGAACCAACAAUGGAAGAAUUGAGAUCAAAGAAAAAAUAUAACCCUACGGCAGUUCAAGAAGUUCUUAACAAUGCCAAAGCUAAAGGCAUUAAAAUUGUACAAGGAGGAAGAUAGAGGAAAGCAGUAAACAUUGAUUUAGAGGAGAAUGCAUCUGAAAUUGACGGAUCUGAAGAACAUCAUAAUCAUGAGGUAGUGGCUUAAAACACAACUUUAGAUACAAUUUUUUUGUUACGUAGGCGUCAAUAUACAAAAAAUUAUUUGUUUUAGUAGAUUGUGUAUUAACGUAAUUGUAUAUAGUAUAUUGAAUGUUUAGUACACACAUGUUUUAGUUAUUUA